rnacentral:lncRNA from 1 species
AGAAGACAGCAAGAGGACGACAAAGGUGGCGAGAUGAUGGGAGUGGGAUUCCAGCGGUGGGACGACAAGCUGCAGAGCAGUCCUUUUUUGCUGAGAACUUCAGAGACCUGCAGAGAGGUCAGAAUGACUUUCUUGCAGAGAUGAGUCACUUUCUCCAGGGAGGUCUCUUUGCUAAGACGCUGAACACUGGACUGGAUGACCGGCCUACAGAGAGGAACUACCCAUUUCUGUUCAAGAAAGGCUUUGAUACUGAGUACCAUGAAGUGUUAGAAUACAAGAAAGUUUCACAUUGGUUAUUAAUCUCCAGUUUUGCAGAUGAGAAACUCAAGAAUCAGAAAAAUGAUGAGAUUGUCCCACACUCUUUGCUAGACACCACGACCUCAGCCUCCCUCCUGAUCUCACACCUGAGUGUCUCUGGGUCAUGGGAAUUGAUAAGGGCUGCAGAUAUCCCUGACAUCCCUUGCUAAUCAUUCCCAAUCGGAGUUAUUGGGCAAGAUCCAAACUACACUCUCUGAAGAGUCUUUCCUCAAAAGAGACUUGAAGAGUGAGGAAGACUAAGAGGCUGCUGCCAUUUGAAGAUGAAGUGUACAAUACAACAGGGAAUCAAGUGAACAGAAAGUGUUGAUGGGGAUCCCAGCAGAUAGCCAACAAAAGGGAACCUCACUUCUACAGCAGCAAGGAACUGCAUUCUGCCAAAAACCUAAUGAACUUGGAAGCAGAUUAUUUUCUGGAGUCUGUAGAGAGAUGAGCAGGAAGAGGGAUAUUAGAAGAGAGAAAGUGAAAACUGGACUGAAACAUUGCUAGCUGGGGAUCUUAGCCUCUCUUUAGGCAACUCACUCCUGGUCCUGUUCUCUGCACAUGUGGGAAUUAUAAUGAGCACCAAGCAGAAUGAAUGAAAAUAAAUCCAGACCAAGAACCACUGAAGAAACUGCAACCCACAAGAGAAAACUAGCCAGAGUAUCUGCACAGGAAGGACAAGGAGACUUCUCUUUAUAAUAACAGAACCCAGAAGACGACCUACAAGGUUCUGCCCACAGGGGAGAUUGUGACCUAUUGCUGGCCCCAACACCAAGUCGAAGUUACACAUUUGCCUUGGCCUUGCCCUGAGAAGGUGCUGUGACAUAUUGCUGGGCCCAGCACCAAGGUGAUGGGACUCUCCUCUUUCUCCUGGAACCUGUCCACAGUGGGGAUUGUGACAUAUUGCUGGGCCCAGCACCACUGUGAUGUGACUCUCCUCUCGUGCCUGGGGCCAGCCCACUGGGGUAAUUGUGACAUAUAACUGGACCUAGCCCCUAGGUUAUGUGACUUACCUCUCCUUCCUGAGCCCUGCCCACAAGGGGGCCUCAUGACAUAUCUCUGGACCCCUCACCUAGGUGAUGUGAGUCUCUUGCCUGGGCCCACCCCUCAGGGUGUAUAGUGACAUAUUGCUGGACCCAACACCUAGGUGAUGUGACUCUUUUCUACUGCUUGGCUCUGCCCAAGGAGAAAUUGUGAUGUAUCACUGGGCCGAGCACCUAGGUGAUGUGACUCUCCUCUCCUGCCUGGCUCCAGCCAAAAGGGGGGAUUGUGACAUAUCACUGGACCCAACACCUAGGUGAUGGGACUCUCCUCUUUUGCCUGGGCCCACAUAUUUUGGGUAUUGUGACCUGGGUGAUGGGAGCCUACUGCUUGAACCCUACCCAGAGGGAGCUUUGUGACAUAUCUCUGCAUCCAUCACCUAGGAGAUGUGACUCUCCUCUCGUGCCUGGCCCCAGCCAAAAGGGGGGAUCGUGACAUGUCACUGGAUUCAUCACCUAGGUGAUGGGACUCCUCUUUUGUCUUGGUCCCACAUACUGUGGGUAUUGUGACAUAAUGCUGGGCCCAACACCUGGGUGAUGGAAGGCUCCUGCCUGGGCCCUGCUCACAGAGAGCCUUGUGACAGAUCUCUGCAUCCAUCAUCACCUAGAUGAUGUGACUCUCCUGUUCUGCCUGCACCCUGCCCAUGGGGAAGAUUGUAACAUAUCCCUGGGUGCUGUUCCCAGUCUUGCCUCAUGGCCUUUGCCCCAGCUGUGUCCUCUGCCCUGCAGGAUGCACCUCUGCUCCGUGUGGCUCCCUCCCACUCUCACUCUCCAAAUGCCCCGAACCCCUGAGCCCCACUGCAGCCCCACUGUACCCUGGCUCUGCAGCGCUGCUUCUUCAUGAUGUGUGUCUUCCAACAGCAGACGGGGCCAUGAAUGUGGAUGCCUCAUUCACUGCUGUGUGCCGGCAUCCAGAGCAGGACUGGAGCCCAGAGCAGGCACCUGACUGAUAGUUGUUGAAUGAGUACAGUAAUGAAUGACAAUGAAAGCACUGUGUAGAAACACUGGCUGAAUAGUACCUAGAAAGAGAAUGUCUCAAAUACCUACAUUAGCAAUGAAAAAAACACUGCUAAUUAAUGAACUAAGCAUCUAAUUCAAGAAACAAAGCAACACAUCUAACUUAUAGAAAAAGUGAAAAAAAUAAAAAACAUAAGAUCAAAAACUGAUGGAAUGAGAGCAUCAAGAAAAACAAGUUCCUUCUUUGAAAAGCGCUGUUCAAUAAUACCUUCUGCAACGUGAGGACAUUCUGUGCUAACUCAGCAGCCACUAGUCACGUGUGUAUUCAGUACUUUAAAUGCAGCUAAUCCUCUCACUGAGGAUCUAAAUUUUUAAUUGUAUUUAAGUUUAAUUUUAAUCCAUUUAAAUAGCCAUAUAAGGCUAGUGAUACUGCAUUUGACAGCACAGUUCUAGAAUAUUUCAAUACAGUGUUCCCAAGUUGACAUGUAUAAUAAUUAUUGUGGGAACAUAAUGGGGGAUAACUAGAUACACCCUAAAUGACUACCAGCAGUAAAAGGCAUUAAUAAAUUGUGAUAGAUUCAUGUAAUAUAAAAUUAAAGUUAAAAAUGAUUUACUAGAGCUGUGCAAUUGAGUGAUGUACAAAUCCUAAUGCUCAACUGCUUCAAACCUACAAUAACAGCAGUUUCAAGGAUUUCAGCCUAAUACAUUUAUAAAUAUAUUUAAAUUCCAAAAAUAUUCAAUUCUGUGUCAAAAGCAAAUUGCACAAUCAUAUUUAGAGUAACAUGUUACUAAAUAUUAUUUAGAGUAACAUUUUAAAACUCUACAAAUUAGCACUUUAUGUUUUGAGGAUGGGAAUAGAUGCAGAACAAUUGUUUAUUGAUACUUGACACAAAUGUUCCUAUCUCUGGAUGAGGGACACGGAUGCCCUCAAGGAGGGGUAUGCGAGAUCCUCAGAUUGCUUAAAAAUCUGAAGCCAACGGACAACAUAUUCAAACUUGCUAAAGCUGGUGGUGAGGAAAUGGGUGUUCAUUAUUUUAUACAAUUUCUCAAGUAAUAAGAAGGAGACAACAGGAAAGGGAAGGAAAAUAAAUCAAGUCUCCAGUGCUCUGUUUCCACAGCCUCUGCAGUAGACUUCCUGGAGCCCUUGACUGUGGUUGCAGCACAGGAGGCCUGUGCCUUGCAGAGGCAGCAGGCACAGGCGGCCAGGAACAUGGCCUCAUCUUGCCCAUCUCCUGUAGAAUGGGGCCCUUUCGGUGUGAGGAGGGCAUGAGGAAGCAUCAAGGAGAGCGUGGACAGGCUGCGAAUCCCUUAGUGUCCCCUCUCAGUCUCCCUGGAAGACUACAGUGAGGGUCUCAGGUCACCUGGCUGAAUCUCACAUCACAGUGAGCAGCGUAGCUGGGCCUGCCACCACCAUGGAGUGAAGGACCUCUCAUAAAUGGCUUGGAAUCAUCCACCUAUCAUAUAAUGCACACACCAACCAGGAAGGUCCAACGCACAUCUUGUUACUUCCAGGAAAUCACUUUCUGCCCUGCAGACCUCUCCCUUCUCCAAAGGCCAUGUCUGCCCGAUCCCCACUUAUCAAAGGCAACUGGCCCCAUCCACCUCACUGCCUGGCACAUGCAGCCAGCACAGGGCCACCUCUCCUGCUGUGACGGGGCUUAUGUCACCACUCUGCCUGCCCCUUUGGUGUAGUUUUCCUUGCUCUUGUUUUCUCUGGGAAAGGAGGUCUCACACAGGUGGACAUUAGAUCAUGGUCCUGCAGUGGGGGAGCUUCUGGGAUGAGGCUUCCUCAGCUGAACCCCAGAUGGGACCAGCCGGCUCAGUGCCAGGCAAGGAAGAGCUUCAGCCUCCCUUUCUGGGGCAAAGCCUGUGCCUGGGAGUUCAUGGCAUGAAGGGACAGAACCAAACGAGGGUCCCCCAAUGUGGCAAAUCCCCAAGAGAAAAGAAGGAGAAGCUAACUGAACACAUGCACCCAGCUUCUACUCCCAAAUGUACCAGUUAGAUAAUUCACUCCUCCUUCCCUCACAGAGAGUGUGGGGGCAGAGAGGAGGCCCUUCUGCAUGGAAUGAACAGCUAAGACCUUCCCCUUAUUUAUGUUGUGUUGGUAUUUGUUGCUAUUUUGGCCAGCAAAUGGGCUAGGCCAUUUGUAUUCACUUCUCCUUUUGCCCUCCCCUCAGUAGCACGAGGUAUGAACUUUCCUUAGAAUAGAGAUGACAGUAACAGUGGGUAUCAGAGCUGUGCUUAAAAUCCAAGUCCAACUUGGAGCCAGAGCUUCUGCUGGAGAGCAGACUGCUCUGUGACUGCAGGUACGAGGUGCGGAAAUGAGGGCCUGUGGGCCCUGGGUGCAGACCCCAUGCGUGGGCCUGGACCCAGCUCUGUUCGUGGGAUUGUGGGUAGGCUGGAUGCUGGGGGUGGGAACCCCACUGUCAACAGUCAUGGAUUGGCCUGCCCUGAAUCCUGUGAAUGCCGCUGUAGGGGAGGGGACCGGGAAGGGAGGAAGAGGCUGCUAGCUGAUCUUGGUAUAGGACUCUCACUGUGAUUCCAACCUCUCUGGAGACAGAUCAGCACUGGGUGGGAUGUCAGGGCUGAGCUGACACAGUUCUCUCCCCACAGUCAACUCCACCAAGGGUCAGUUGUUCUGGUGGAACGACUGUGUGCCCAUAGUCUAAGAUAAAUUAUCAACAACAAGUCUGUUUAAUGAGCACAGACAUUUGGUUGAGAGCAUAAUGAAAAUAAAUCUGCAAAGCAUUUUCAGCUGAUUUCCCCAUUUAGGGUCUGUCAUAUUAGCAUGGCUUUCUGGUUUACAAAAUAAGCCUACAUGAAGGCACAAUUAGAACCUCCUGAAAAAUCUUUAUUCCCUUUCCUUGUUGAUUUAAAAUAUGGCUUUCCUUAUUCUUCCUCAGCACCCUGGCACAGAAUGCAAUGUGCUCCUAACCCCACCCUGUCUGCUCAGCCCACUGAGGACUACAGGAAUGAAAGCCUGGGCUCUGCCAGUCACUGGGCAGGUGCAGAGAAUGCUGUUGGGGCAAUCCUGGCAUGGGUUGCUGCCUUCUAGAACCUGUGUGUGGAUUCAGAUGUCACUGUCUCUCAGGAUUUUGGCAGGAGAGCUAAUUUUGAUACAAGAUACACAAAGAGAAAGCAUACCUCUCUUUUCACAGCCAAGCACAAGGCUGCAAUGUACAAGGGAUACAGAGAUCCGACCACUGAACGCCUUACAUUUUAUGCACAAAAUGCCUCCCUUCUCAGAUUUAAAAAAUAAAAAAAAGCAAGUGGGCUGGGCACAGUGGCUCAUGCCUGUAAUCCCAGCAUUUUGGGACACCAAGGCAGAUGGAUCGCCUGAGGUCAGGAGUUCGAGCCCAGCCUGGCCAACGUGGUGAAACCCCAUCUCUACUAAAAAUACAAAAAAUUAGCCAGGCGUGGUGGCAUGCGCCUGACAUCCCAGCUACUCGGGAGGCUGAGGCAGAAGAAUUGCUUGAAUCUGGGAGGUGGUGGUUGCAGUGAGCCAAGAUUGUGCCAUUGCCCUCCAGCCUGGGUGACAGAGCAAGACCCCAUCUCUAAGUAAAUAAAUAAGCAAGUUAUGAUUUAUUUCCACAAAUUAUGCCAGAGGUGGGGGAUGGGAGCAUGCCAAGGUUGUGCCCCCACUCUAUUUUCUAACUUCUUUAUAAGGACUUUCAAAUAGAAAAAAGUGGAAAGAACUUGAAAGCAAACACCCGGAUACCUGCUUUAGUUCAUUUUCUGCCACUCUAACAAUACCAGAGACUGGGUGAUUUACAAUGAACAUAAAUUUAUAUAGCUCAUGAUUCUAAAGGCUGGCAAGUCCAGGAGCAUGGUGCUGGCAUCUGGUGAGGGCCUUCCUGCCGAUUCAUGACAGAGCAGAAAGCAUCACAUGACUAGACAGCAACAGCAUGCAUGACAGCUCAGCUGUCGCUCCCUCUUCUUAUAAAGCCAUCAGUUCUGAUGACCUCUGUAAAUCCUAAUUACCUCGCAUGGCCCCACCUCCCAUCAACAUAUGAAUUUACGGAUUAAAUUUCCAGUACAUAAAAUUUGGAGGACGCAAUCAAACCAAAGCAUUAGUCCCUCACCCCUAAAAUUCAUGUCCUUCUCACAUGCAAAAUACAUUCACCCCCAUCCCAAUAGCUCCAAUGUCUUGACUCAUUCUGGCAUCAACUCAAACAUUCAAAGUUCAGAAUCUCACUUGAAUCAGAUACAUGUGAGACUCAAGGCAUGAUUCAUCCCAUGGCAAAUCCCAUCCAGCUGUGAGCCUUUGUAAUCAAAAUGAGUUGUCUACUUUCAAAAUACAAUGAUGGGACAGGCAUGGGAUAGAUAUUACCAUUCAAAAGGGAGCAACAAGAAAGAAGAACAGAUAACUGGUCCCAAGUACAAAACCCAAUUGGGAAAACAACAUUAAGUCUUAAGACUCCAGAAUAUCCUUUCACUCUAUGUGCUGCCUCCCGGACACACUAGUGGAAGGGUUGGGCCCGCAAGGCCUUAGGCAGCCCCACCCCUGUGGCUUUGGUGGGCUCAGUCCACACUUCAGUGCUUCCAGGCUGGUGUUGCAUGCUGGGAACUCUACAGUUGUGGGGUCCUGGUGGUGGUCCCAACUCUGUAGCCUCAUUAGGCAUUGUCCUAGUAGGCACUCUCUGGGGUGGCUACACCCCUGCCACAAGUCUCUGCAUGGGCCCCCAGGUUGUUGAUAUAUCCUAUGCAAUCUCAGUGGAGGCUGCUGUGCCUCCACAGCUCUUGCUUGCAUUCUGCACACCUGCAGAGUUAGCACACCAUGGUCUUCACCAAGGUUUAUGACUUGUACCUUGCAGGGUAGUGGGUCAAGCUGCACCUAGACUCACUAGAACCACAGCUGGUGCAGCCAAGCAUUACUGCACCAGAAUACAGGGAUCAGAGACUGGACCCAGGCUGUAGCUCAUCUGCUGAAAUUGUAUGUGCUGGAAGUUUAAUUGCUGAAUUCAUUUUGAUUGGAGGCAGGCCAUUGAGAGGUCAUUAGGACUUUAAAAGAUCAUUAGGAUGAAGCCCUGGUGAUGGAACUGCUGGUUUCAUAAAAAGAGGAGGAGACACCUGAGCUGUCAUGCACAGUGUUGCAAUCAAAGAUCUCUAAAAUGCCUUCGAGUUUUUCCCCCAUUGUUUUGAUGAAUAGCCUCUGGCUUUGUUCUAUCCACACUAGUUUUCUUAUCAGUCAGUCACUUGGUCACACUCUUGGUUUCCUCUGCUGAAAAUGCUCUUUCAUUCUCUACCGCAUGGAAAGGCUUUUUUUUUUUUUCAAAUCUUUAUAUACUGCUUCCCUUUUAAUUAUACAUUCCAUUUCAAGUCAUUUUUUAACUCCCACAUCCCACUGUCUACAGUUAAAAGUAGCCAUGCAGCAGUUAGAAUGCUUUGCUCCUUAGAUGGUUCUGCCAGAUAUCCUAGUUCAUCACUCUUAAGUUCUACAUUCCAUAAAGCUCUUGAGCAUGGAUACAAUUCAGCCAAGGCCUUUGCAACUGUAUAACAAGAAUGGCAAGGAUGGCCUUUACCCUAGUGUCCAAUACCUUGUUACUCAGUUCAUCUGAGACCUCAGCAGAAUGGCCUGUACUGCCCAGAUUCCUAUCAACAUUUUGGUCAUGGCCACUUAAUCUCUAAGAAGAUUCAGGCUCUCCCUAGUCAUGAAGUAUUCCUCUAAGUCCUCACCAAAAUUGCCCUUAGUGCUCCAUUCAUGUCUUUACCAAUUAGUCAUUUCCAAAACUUUCCAGGUAUUUCCACAUUUCAGGUAUUUACAGCAACCUUUUCAGGUAUUGAUAGCAACAGCUGGGUACCAAUUUUUUGUCUUAGUUGGCUUUUUGUUGCUAUAAUUGAAUAACUCACACUGGAUAUAAAGGAAAAAUUUACCUCUUACAGUUCUGGGGGCUGUGAAGUCCAAGAUCAGGUGGCUGUGUCUGGUCAGCUUCUGGGGAGGGCUUUGUGCUGCAUCAUGAUAUGGUUGAAGGCAACACAGUGAGAGAGCAAGAGCAUGUGUGUCAACUCAGGUCUCUCUCCUUCAUCUUACAACCCCACAAGCCCAUCAUGGUAACCCCAGCCUGAUGACUUUAUCUAAUUCCAAUUAGCUCCCCAAAACCCCACCUUUGAUCAGCAAGGGAAUUGGGGGAUUACAUUUUCAACACAUGAAACUUGGGAGAUAUAUUUAUACUACAGCAUUACUUAUCACCUAACCUCCACAAUCAGUAGUUUGCUUUCUUUGUUUUAAUCAGUUUCUAUCCGUCCAUCAAAUAAUCUUAUUUUCAAUCCUUUUCAAGGCAAGUUGCAGACACCCUGACAGAGCAUCCCAAAUACUUCAGCAUGUGUAAUAUUAACUAGCACUCUACAUGUGUUCAUGGUUCUUGUUUCUAUAGAUAAAUUUAUACAAAGUGGAAUACACAGAGCUUCUGUGUACCAUUGCAUGUGUACGGUACAAUGUGCACAGCUGUGUAAGACAAAACCUCUUCAAGAUGUAGAACAUGACUCCACCCCAGGAAGUACCCCCUGCCCCAUGCAUCCAUCCUCACCCUCAUCUCCACAAAGGCUGUUCUCCAUGGUUUCAUGUUUUCAGAACAAAAAAUGUUUUCCCUCAUUCAGAAUUUCACAUGAGAAUUUAUACUCUGCAUAGUCUUCUGUGUACAGCUUCAUUUAUUCUAGUAUUAUGUUUUUGAGACUCUUUUACAUUAUUGCAUGUAAACACACUUUGUUCCUUUUAAUUUCUGAGUAGUAUUUUAUUGUAUGAAUAGAUUCCAGUUUAUUUAUUCACUCUCCUGUUGAUAGAUACCUGUGAUGUCUCUAUUUUUUGCUAUUUUGAAUAAAUGUAACAUAAAAAUUCUUGUAUAU